AUUGAACGCUGGCGGCAGGCCUAACACAUGCAAGUCGAACGAGUCGGGCGGGUGAGUAAUGUGUGGGACACCGCCUUAUGGAGGGGGAACACUACGGGAAACGGUAGCAAAUCCCGCAUAACCGCAUAUGCGCACAGGUGGGAUUAGCUUGUUGGUGGGGUAACGGCUCACCAAGGCGACGAUCCCUAGCUGGUCUGAGAGGAUGACCAGCCACACUGGAACUGAGACACGGUCCAGACUCCUACGGGAGGCAGCAGUGGGGAAUAUUGCACAAUGGGCGCAAGCCUGAUGCAGCCAUGCCGCGUGUAUGAAGAAGGCCUUCGGGUUGUAAAGUACUUUCAGCGGGGAGGCGUUACCCGCAGAAGAAGCACCGGCUAACUCCGUGCCAGCAGCCGCGGUAAUUC
rnacentral:rRNA from 1 species